AGUGCUUUGUAAUGCAAAGGUGACCCAACGU
rnacentral:piRNA from 1 species